UGGGGGAUAUUGCACAAUGGGCGAAAGCCUGAUGCAGCGACGCCGCGUGGGGGAUGAAGGCCUUCGGGUUGUAAACUUCUUUUGCUCUGAACAAGGCGCACCAUGGGGUGUGUUGAGUGUAGGGGUUGAUUAGCGCCGGCUAACUACGUGCCAGCAGCCGCGGUAAUACGUAGGGCGCGAGCGUUGUCCGGAAUUAUUGGGCGUAAAGGGCUUGUAGGUGGCUGGUUGCGUCUGUCGUGAAAGCUCAUGGCUUAACUGUGGGUUUGCGGUGGGUACGGGCUGGCUUGAGUGCAGUAGGGGAGGGUGGAAUUCCUGGUGUAGCGGUGGAAUGCGCAGAUAUCAAGAGGAAUACCGGUGGCGAAGGCGGGUCUCUUGGCUGUUACUGAAACUGAGGAGCGAAAGAAUGGGGAGCGAACAGG
rnacentral:rRNA from 1 species